AAAGAAUUUAGUUAAUUAAUAAUAUUGGUUUGUCAAAUCAAAGUUACAUUUACGUGUAUUUCUU
rnacentral:tRNA from 1 species